rnacentral:lncRNA from 1 species
GGGAAUCUGGACUUUUGCUUGGCUAUUUUCUCCAGGGUGUUUUGGAGAUGGUGUUCUGAAUUUCAAGUUGGAAUGCCAAGCAUUCUGUUUUCCAAACUAAUUACCUAUUUCUCCAGAGAAUUCUUGAGUCCCACUCUAUUCCUCAAAUGGCCUCAUAUGUGAGUUUAUUUAUAAUUUGACACAAUGAUCCAUUUCCACUUCACUCUACUUCCAUUCUAUAGGUGAAUGGCUCAUAUCCUGGGUCUUUUUGGUUAUGGGUUUAGUUUAGCCUUCCUUAAAUGUUAUAUUCUUCAGGAGAAAAUAAGAUUCUUGAGGCGAGGAACAUUACAAAUUAAAAAGAUUACUAAAAUGAAGACACACUGAGUAGGUUAUUGAAAAACAGUAACAAAGGUCUUAGAGAACAAAUAAUGAAACAUACCUUCCCCAGCAAAGCAGAGGUAGGGGACUAAUAGGACAGAAUAUUAUAUAUAUAUAUAUAUAUAUAUAUAUAUAUAUAUAUAUAUAUAUAUAUAUAUUCAAAUGUGGUCACUAUCAGGUGCCUUUGCUUGUUUUUCUUUGUCACAAAGGAGAAUUCAGUGAGGAGACAUAAAAUACGAGUAUAACUUUUCUUUUUUUUAAUUCAAGUCUAGGCCAAGGACAAACUAUAACACAAUGUCUUUGAACUGUCAGUGUCUAACACACAGAAAGCACUUAAUAAAUGCUUAUUGAAUUGAAUUUCACAGAAUUUGGCUCAGAAUCAGGAAGAGUAAGUUUGUGGAUUCUAUAUUUACUCCACCAAAAUUCUCCCAUCUAUAUUUAAGAUCUUAUGACUUGAGACAAGAGGGACCAUAUCUAUCAUUUAAACCAAAACCCUAAGACCCAAAUUGAUGUCUCUAUAGAAGUGCUUUUUAACGUGACCCUGGGCAUUAAACUGCAGAAAGGACAGAAAAAGCUGGCUAAUAUACACGUAUCUCCCUUAGGAUUUUUUUUGGUGAGGUUCUAGACAUUAGAAAUGUUGGGGAACCUUGGUUGUGUCUUUACAGGCAAAAUAAGGUGGGGUGCUGAAGUAAUUAGCUGGAUACUUCGGAGGAAAAAUCUUUUUAUGCCUCUAAUUACCCAAAUUAGCUGUCCCAGCUAAGACAAUCGGCUCCACCUUUCCCUUCCUGUUCUUCUCUAUUGUAGCCACAUCUCGGGUCUCCACCUUUGCCAGGUAUUGUUUGCCAUUUCCUCCUGUAUCGAUCCGGCUUCCAGCCUGACAUUUCUGGGAGAGAGGACUUCCGAAUCAGACAAACCAAAGGCGGCUGAAAGCCGCGGACGGGGGUUUAACCCGCUCCCCGACACCGCGGAGGCGAAUUUUUCGGUCGUUGGUGGGAAGGGGUUUGCGAGCGACUCGCACGGAAGGAGCCCUGGGCUGCCAUAGAAGACGGAGGCUUGGAGGCUGAGGGGUGUCGGGGUCGCGCUUGCAAUGGGCGCAUUUUCCUGGAUGAGGGCCGCUCCCUGCCCCUUGCCCCGGAGCCUCCGGGCCCGCUCCCGCCCACUCCCCACGUACACUGCGGGUCUCCUUUUUUCUGCGCCCCUCCCCCCUCCCGCGCAGCUCCUGCCAGGCCCUGCCCGAGCUCCGGCUUGCCUGCCCGGCCCGGCCUCCCCCAUCCCUGCGGCGGCGGAGACCGGGGGCGCAGAGCCAGCCCGCCCCCUGCCCCUUCCCCUGCGGCAGGCAGGCGGGAGCCGGCAGCGGGACGCCCGCCCUGCGCCUCCCUUCCCCCGAGCGCCCGGAGCCGCAGGGCGCGGAGCGCAACCGGCCCUCGCCCUCCUCGCGGCUCCGCCGCCGGGCUUCCCGGCUCUCCUCCGCCUCCCGUCCUUUCAUCUCCGUCCUCCGUCCAGUCCCGCCCCGGGUCCCUGCCUGCUGAGCCUCCCGGGCCCGCGGCUGCUGCCGCACCUCGGGCAGGCCGGGUUCGCGGGCGGCCUGUCCCGCUCCCGGCCCCGGUUGAUUCCAAGACUGGGGCUGCUGUUGCGGCUGCAGCCGUCCCUGCUGCCGCCACAGCUGCCCCUGCCGCCUCCGGCUCUUGCUCGCGCUCCUGCUUCAGCUCCCGCUGCCAUUGACGUCAGAGGGGCUGGCACAUGACUGGGGAGGGACCAAUCAGGAAAGCCCUGGGCUGCUUCUGCAAUCUCUCAACACAACUCCUGC